AUUGAUAGAAAGGGUUGUGCAAUGCAUGGGCCCACUUCUUACCUUUCUUUUUCCUAUUUGUAUGAGCAGUUACUCUCAGCAGGGUAGUAUUCCUCCCACAAUUGGAUUGGGAAGAUUUGAGUGCAGGAACGAUGGGGGAGUAGUUGUUUUAGAUAGGAAACUUCCACUUCCCCACUUUGGCAGCCACAUAAUGGUUAAGAUAGUUCAAAGAAAUGCAGUCAAAAAGAAAUAUAACCAAAGAACAAGAUAGAAGAAUAGGCAAAACAAGAUGUGCACCUAGGAUAUUAUUUCCCUUUCACUUUUUUCCACUGGUGGACAUUGCCGGUUCCUUCAUUUUUACAAGUGUAAAUAAAUUUAGGAGAAAACAGGUCAAACAGGUCCCUAAGGGAAAAAGCGAUUACGGUGGGGAUACACGAUCAAUAUAGGCGAUUUCCACAAUGUAGGAAAUGUUUUUUUUUUAAAUAUUUAAAUAAAGUUGGAAGAUCAAAGAACAUGGUGAUGGAAGACUAGUAUUUGCCAGGGUUGAAUUUUUUUAAAAAAAUAUUUAAUCAUGCUAUUGUAAUUUUUAAUCUUGGUUUGUUUGAUAAAAAAAUAAUGAAGGA
rnacentral:lncRNA from 1 species